CUGCAACGGAAAUGAAGUCCUUUUCGCGUUUCUGCAACGAUUGAUUCAUCAAAUCAUAGUUUCCUACGACAGGAAAUGUUGUUGUGCGAACAAUUUAUAUUGUGCUUCUGUGACAAGUUUUGCCACCGUACUUACGAAGUCAAAAGAAAGAUGCUUCGUUUCCUGCUUGGCUGCGUGUUUAUCCUUGUCUUGGUACAAUUGUUCGGUGUACUAAAUAGAGAACAAAGUAUUGAAGAAUCUCCAAACUAUGAUACUUUCGUCGUUGAACUCACACAAGACAUUUCUAAUCUAUUCGAUGAAAUUUGAAAGAAGCUGACAUGUAAAUACUGCAUUUUAUACAAAGGAACAAGCAAGCUGUUGAAAAUACUUCUACCAAAAUACUUAUUUUCUGUAUUAUUUCAAUGUGAAACUUGUCGACCAUACCAUGCAUUCGCUUACAGGCAUAAGUUUGUUGAAGUUCAGCCAUUCAGGAUUGAAGGCGAAGCUCUUUAAUUAAUUCAUUAAUUAACUAAUUCGUUAUUAAUACUAUCCAAGUUCUAUUGUGCAUCGUACUCAAUUCUUUAUUUUUACUUUCCAGUCGUUUUGUUAAAAUGUAAUACGAUUUGGUUAAUAGUA